UCCACUGACUCACUGAAAGCAGAAACGUCCAAGCAGAAAUACAGAAGAUAAAAGAGAAACCAUUAAUCCAAGCCCUACACUGGAACAGGCCGCCAAGGAGGAGGAUGAUGAGGAUGAUGAGGCGGCAUUUAGUGACGACGAGCCAGAAUACCAUUUUG